GAACCAUCUGUGUAUUAGGCUGAGGUUGUUGGGUGUGGGUAUAGCUUGAAAGUUGUGGUUGGUAUUGAGGAACCUGCCAGGGUGGGAGUCCUUGAAUGCCAGCUGGGCCAGGUUGACCAGGAGAACCGGGUUCACCACAAGCACCUUUGGGUGAAUCCAUGCUAUCCAUAAUUAAAACAGUGCUGAAGUUACCAUCUCUACAAAAGUUAAAUCCUUUGAUCAAAUUCUCUACCUCUGCCUCUAAAACUUUUCUGAUUCAAUCUAUCACCUCCAAACUUUCUUUGUCUCGCCUGCUUAAGAUCACAAUCCUUUUGUGACCGAUACAACAUACUUUUCCCUCUUUCUUUAUAUCCAAAACAACCUGCUGUAUCUUUCUCAUGAAUCUUCCCAAGAAAUUCAGUUGGGGUCAAAGAGGGCCAGUCACAGACCAACAGUUUGACCAAAAGUGAACAAGGAGGAAGCAUAUUCCAUAUGAAGGUCGAGAUGACCUAACUCACACCCCCUCUUUGUGUACACCUAUUUGUGUACCACACAGAUAUAAUAUUAAUAAGCUUUUGAAGAUUUAUUGUGCAUGUAUAGCACGGUUGUCUAGGGGUGUAUACAUAAACAGUGAAAGCAGAGUCUUCACAUAGGGUUUGCAAUACUGACAGUCUGUGUCAUAGGUGUAAUACAGACAUGCGGUUAGGAACUUUUCCAUUGUCAGAACACUAAUAUAUUGCAAAUAUUAAAAUCAUAUUGCAGCUGUUUCCUAUACCUGCAAAGAUAUGGUUUUAAUACUUCAAUUGAGUUCAAAUUGAGUAUCAAAAUUCUAACCACAAAAACUAAAUUUUAUAUGCUUAUCAAAAUGAGUUUAACCCCUUAGCAAUUUAAUAGGGU